ACACACACAGGGUCACAUCCAUUUCCUGCAGAUUUUCCAGUCUCUCUCAGCUCCUCCUGAAUCUACAGACGUAAAUGACGAUCCCUUCAGUUCUCUUUCCUCUUUUGAUGUUGUGAGAGAAUCUGUCCAUCAGCUGAGAGACAAACUGGAGGAUUUCUGCAAAAAGGAGCUGAAGAAGAGGCAUUUUGGCAGAAAUGUUAUGUUUUCAAGCACUGUGCACUUUGCAAGACUUUUUUGAAACAGACAUUACAAUGUCUUGA